UACGGAGGAUGCGAGCGUUAUCCGGAUUUAUUGGGUUUAAAGGGUGCGCAGGCGGUCUGUUAAGUCAGCGGUCAAAGCCCGGGGCUCAACCCCGGCCCGCCGUUGAAACUGGCUGGCUUGAGUUGGGGAAAGGCAGGCGGAAUGCGCGGUGUAGCGGUGAAAUGCAUAGAUAUCGCGCAGAACCCCGAUUGCGAAGGCAGCGUACCGGCUCCACACUGACGCUGAGGCACGAAAGCGUGGGGAGCAAACAGG
rnacentral:rRNA from 1 species